UAAGUGUCACAUUAGACUUCUAAUCUAUACAAAGCUUUAUGCUACACUUUU
rnacentral:tRNA from 1 species